CAUACAUUCUAGCCAAGCCUUCUGAUAUGCCGGGGAAAGGUGCCCACUGAACUUUUUGUGAGGUUCUGAAUCAUUGCUGGUAAUACUAAGGUUCUCAUCUUUCCAUUCUGAAAAACAGAAUCUGCAAUCACAAGACGAACAUUUUAUCAGCACGUGAGAAGUUACCAGAGACCUGGAAGACCCUUGUUCUCUGGUUUCUUGGAGAUUCUGUGAGCUAUCACUAUUCCAUCAGAUAUAUUCCUUUGAAUAUGUCAGACAAAACGAAGAAGAAGCAGAAGAAGCAGAAGCAGAA